CACGAUAUAGCUUAAUGGUAGAGUGCGUGCCUAACAUGCACAAGGUGCUGAGUUCAAUCCCCAGUACCUUCA
rnacentral:tRNA from 1 species